AUCAAACAUAAUCAAACAUUGCAAGGAAAGAUAAAGUUUUGGAGUCUGCAAUCCAGAGAAACAGUCCAAGAAUGGUUGAACCACAGGGUUCCACCUUUUCUGAGGGAGAUGAAGGAAGCCAACUCUAUCACCAUAUGUCAAACACAUCUUCAUCUGUAACCAUGACAACUCCCAAAGUCUUCUUUAUAGUCUCUGCCUCCCCGGAUAGAGUCCCCCAUCCUGUUUAUUCCUAUUCCAUCUCUCUGCAGCAAACCAAGACGAGAGAGAACCUGGAAAUAACGGUAGUGGGCGGAAGAACCUGGCAUUCACAGGGAAAGACCUUUUUAGUCAUCUGAUCACACUCUCUAACUUCUAAGUUCUUUGAACAUCUUCUUGUAUGUGAACUGUGCAUCAGAGAUUUGGAACAAGAGGAGACUCUGGACUUUCACUUGUUGUCUGAGGACAAUUCCACUCCAAUCCCCAUAAAAAUGUGAAUGAAUGUAUAUGAAAGAGCUGUGAACUGGUGAGCUUGUAUCAUAUCAGCUAUGCUUCAGUCUGACAAGUGUGUAGUCCUGCAGGCUGAAAAAACCCCAUAGAGAUCCCUCUAAUUUUGUCUUUAAAAUGACAGUCUUUCAGCAACUACAGCUGUUUUCCCCCAUCAUGCAUUCUGCCAAUGAAAAUACUGAGUUUGGAACAGGAAGCUACGUAUUGCAACUUUGAAAUCUUAUGUUUUCUUCAUUCCCAACUCUUGUUGCAAGCAAAUCAUCUUAUGAUGCAACUAUUUCUCUGGGGGCCAAAUGGAAGGGUAAUCUGGUCUCUAAUAUGAAGCUAUUUAUUUUUAGCAUGAGAGAGCACAAUAGGUAUGUAAUGAGCCAUAAUCAGGUACAUGUUCAUUUUUGCUUUUAUUUUAUUUUUCUUAGCCUACAGCAUUUCCUUCAUGUUUAGUGUAAAUAAAAAGCUGGGUUUCUGGGCACUAAAGGAGAAAGAUGUAAAAACAGAAAAAAGGUCUCUGCAAAUGCUUCUAUGAAGAAAAACCAUCAAUAAGUAAUGAGACUCAUUUGAAAAAGAAACAAUUGUAUAUUUUUGUAUGGAUGUAAUAUUUGUGUUUGGUUGAAAACUGUGUGCCGCACAGGCCACAGCAGUUACAAGCUUAUCCCAUGGUGCCUCAUCAAUGCCUUUUGCCUGUGUCUUGGAAGAAGCCAUCUCUGUGUAUGAUAGGACAAUUUAGUCAUACUGGCUUAUUCUGUCCUUGGUUCCUGGGCAGAGGUUGUCAGCUAGGUUUACAGUUAGGGCCAAUUCUGAUAGUAUGAUUGUGGAAAAUUGUCCCCUGGGAACUAGAUUUAACUAUCCGAGCCAUCAGAUGAUAAACAUUGGUCCCUUUUGACAAGAGGUGGGUGCAAACCUGUUCUCAAAAAAGUUAGUGUCUCUGCUACA